GAAUAUUGCACAAUGGGCGAAAGCCUGAUGCAGCAACGCCGCGUGAGUGAUGAAGGCCUUCGGGUCGUAAAGCUCUUUGAUCAGGGAUGAUAAUGACAGUACCUGAAAAACAAGCCACGGCUAACUACGUGCCAGCAGCCGCGGUAAUACGUAGGUGGCGAGCGUUGUCCGGAAUUACUGGGCGUAAAGGAUGCGUAGGUGGAUACUUAAGUGGGAUGUGAAAUCCCCGGGCUCAACCCGGGAACUGCAUUCCAAACUGGGUAUCUAGAGUGCAGGAGAGGAAAGCGGAAUUCCUAGUGUAGCGGUGAAAUGCGUAGAUAUUAGGAGGAACACCAGUGGCGAAGGCGGCUUUCUGGACUGUAACUGACACUGAGGCAUGAAAGCGUGGGUAGCAAACAG
rnacentral:rRNA from 1 species